UUCUUUUUAUUACAGAUUAAUCACAAAAACUGCAGGAGAGGCUUGUAAGAAAGAUUCCGAGUGCCUUUGUUGUACUAUUGGUGAAGAUCUAACUGAAUCUGGCCCUGGAAAUCUGUGAACAGCAAAAGAAAGAUGAAUGAUUUUUGAAUAGAAGGAAAUUUACACAAAUGUGAUUCUUCUUUACACCAACAAGAAACCGUAUGAAAAGUCCUUCUCAGCUUAUGGUCCCAAUUAAGCUAUCUCAACACACUUUGUAGCAAAUUCUGUAACCCCCUAACAAACACAGUUGGCCACAUGCACAAAUUUCAGUAAUCAAAACAUUUUUCUGUC
rnacentral:lncRNA from 1 species